CGCAACCCUUCGGGGUUGAGUGGCGGACGGGUGAGUAACGCGUGAGAAUCUGCCUAGAGGUCGGGGACAACCAUUGGAAACGAUGGCUAAUACCGGAUAUGCCUUACGGGGUGAAAGAUUAAUUGCCUUUAGAAGAGCUCGCGUCUGAUUAGCUAGUUGGUGAGGUAAGAGCUCACCAAGGCAGCGAUCAGUAGCUGGUCUGAGAGGAUGACCAGCCACACUGGGACUGAGACACGGCCCAGACUCCUACGGGAGGCAGCAGUGGGGAAUUUUCCGCAGUGGGCGAAAGCCUGACGGAGCAAGACCGCGUGAGGGAGGAAGGCUCUUGGGUUGUAAACCUCUUUUGUCAGGGAAGAACAAAAUGACGGUACCUGACGAAUCAGCAUCGGCUAACUCCGUGCCAGCAGCCGCGGUAAUACGGAGGAUGCAAGCGUUAUCCGGAAUUAUUGGGCGUAAAGCGUCCGCAGGUGGCUGAUCAAGUCUGCGGUCAAAGACCGGGGCUUAACCCUGGAAAGGCCGUGGAAACUGAUAGAGCUAGAGUACCGUAGGGGUAGAGGGAAUUCCCGGUGUAGCGGUGAAAUGCGUAGAGAUCGGGAAGAACAUCGGUGGCGAAAGCGCUCUACUGGACGGUGACUGACACUCAGGGACGAAAGCUAGGGGAGCGAAUGGGAUUAGAUACCCCAGUAGUCCUAGCCGUAAACGAUGGAUACUAG
rnacentral:rRNA from 1 species